ACCCUCACCAGUGCUUAAGGCGACUUGCGACCGUUAUGGCCAGGUGACUGUGGUGGGCAAAUGCGUGAGAGAUGCGACGUGGUUCGGGCGAAGGUCAGGCUAACGCCGAUGCCAACGCGAAAGGGCUGAUGAUGAUGAUGAUGAUGAUGAUGAUGUGAAUGAUGUGAAAGAUUAAGAUGAUAUCUACCACGGUGUCACCUAAACAUGUCUCCACAGCCUCCUGCCCACACCAUUCACGUUCACACACCUUGCUCAUAACACCCUGCCCACACCAGACAUAUCCAUUUACAUUGCGCUAUUAUCACACUGCUAGCUCUACAGCCUCCUGCCUACAACAUCCACACGCAUUGUUCACCACCUCCUGCCCACACCAGCCACACACUUCGCGCUCACACUGCACUGCUAGCCCCUGCCUUCAACAACCACACACUCUGCACACAGCCCUUUGCCUAAAACAUCACCGCUACUGCGCUAGCCCCCACAGUCUCACACAGCUUUUUAUACCACCCUCUCCUGGCAUAUAUACCGGCAUGGUCGGCACCCGAUCUUCAUGUUGCCUGAUGAUUGCGUAAGCAUGAAACUUAAAGUAGCAGCAAACAAGC